rnacentral:rRNA from 1 species
AACGAACGCUGGCGGCAUGCCUAACACAUGCAAGUCGAACGAGACCUUCGGGUCUAGUGGCGCACGGGUGCGUAACGCGUGGGAAUCUGCCCUUGGGUUCGGGAUAACAGUUGGAAACGACUGCUAAUACCGGAUGAUGACUUCGGUCCAAAGAUUUAUCGCCCAGGGAUGAGCCCGCGUAGGAUUAGCUUGUUGGUGAGGUAAGAGCUCACCAAGGCGACGAUCCUUAGCUGGUCUGAGAGGAUGAUCAGCCACACUGGGACUGAGACACGGCCCAGACUCCUACGGGAGGCAGCAGUGGGGAAUAUUGCACAAUGGGCGAAAGCCUGAUGCAGCAACGCCGCGUGCAUGAUGAAGGCCU